UCGGGGAGGCGACAGUGGGGAAUCUUGCGCAAUGGGCGGAAGCCUGACGCAGCGACGCCGCGUGGGGGAUGAAGGCCUUCGGGUUGUAAACCUCUUUCGGCAGGGACGAAGUUGACGUGUACCUGCACAAGAAGCGCCGGCUAACUACGUGCCAGCAGCCGCGGUAAA
rnacentral:rRNA from 1 species